AGGCUGGCCUUGAACUCACAGAGAUCCUCUGCCUCCCAAGUGCUAACAUUAAAGGUGUGUGCCUCCACCACUUGGCCAGCCACUCAGAUUCUUUUCAAUUGUGUCUGGUGGUCCUGUGGCUUUGAACCCAGAGCCUUGCCCAUGUAAAUGGCCUACCACUGAUAGACACCUGGGCAGAGUUCCAGUGUUUCCCUUUCUUUUUUUGAUUGAGAUGGUAUCUCACUAUGUAGCCCUAGCUGGCCUAGGGACUCUGAGACCAGUUUAACCUGGAGUUCAUCUACACUUCCAGCCCCACCUCACCCUGAUGGUGGAAUUAAAGGUAUGUGCCACACCACCAGGCCCCAAUGUUUUGCUGUUAGAAGACAGUUUAGAGUUUGAGCUGAAACCUUAUAACGCUACUGUGUCCGUGAGGCAACCGAGGCAAUGCUUGUGUUGUCCUGUCUUUGAGAAGGAUGUUUUCUGCUCCUUACUUGCUCCCUCCAUCCUCUGAGUAUCACAUCUAUAGUUUUCAGGUAUAUUGGAGUAAGGGAAAUGACACACCAACAGGUUCUUAUUUACAAAGGGGAAAUAUGUGUGUGUGUAUAUAUAUUCCAGGACCUCCAGGGCUACAUAUAGGAAGACCCUAUUUCAAAGAAAGAAAAAGUGUCUUUUCCUUCUAGUCUCAAAAUCCUUACAUACAUGGGUUUUCUUCUUUGGGUUGCUGCCUAUGAUGAAGCUUAGCACCCAAAGUGCUCGCUGUGGCCCCAAGCUCCUGAUAGGCUGCCUCAUCUCACUCAUGCAUCAAGCUGGGCAAUCCAUUGGGUGGCUCUCCUUGGAGACCGUGGUGAAGCACCCCCACAUUUUGAGGAUUUGAAAUGGUUGCCUGGAAAGCUUUCUUUCUCCAUCAUCUACAAAAUCGUCUCUGUCCUUGAUCUUGGGAAUUAGUUGCUAGUCCAUGUGGUCAACAGAAUAUUUGAGUCCAGACAUCAGUUUAAUCAGAGCAAAUCGGCCCAGAACCUUCCCAUUGCCAGACAGAGAGCCACACUUCAGGUCCUCUCUGCUAAAUAUCCCCAUAGCAUUGUGUGUGCAUGGGUAGCUGGAUAUCUCGAAUGGAAAUGUCUAGUGAGGUCUAGGGGAGGGAAGGGUCUUCUUGUAUGAGCUGAUUCAGACAUAUCUUUUUUUGGCAGGAAUCUGUAGAGACAUUCUUGGAACGGAAUUGUCUGAAGACACGCACCUGUUUGCAAGAUCGCUGCUCAGGUGUGGUGCAGUUGACCAGCAGUGAGGGUGUUGCUUGAGACCUGAGAAGCACAUCCACAGGAUCAAAGGCUGUGCCACCACCCCCUGGCCUAUGUGGCCUUCAAAGAGGGAGAAAAUACAGAUUUUUUUUUUUAAAGAUUGUCACAGCAUGCUUUGAGAAAAACGCCGAAUGUCCCAGACAGCAGCAGACCAGAAAACUUUAUUUUGCAGUUUAUCCUUAUAAGCAAUCAUGUGCCACAGGACACAUUUCUACAAUUAAUUAGUUUCUAACUCAUUAUGUAGCCAAAGAUGUCCUUGAGCUAAUCCUCCUGCCUCUUAUUUACUUCACCAGUAAAUUUAUUAGUGUAUUCACUGUACAAAGCCAUGGGCUAGGUUUUUUCAGAUACUUUAAUACAUGUAUAAAUUCUGUCUUCCACGUGCCGGAACACAAGACUGUAACUGACUCACCUUUUCAAAAGAUGACAUGCAGAGUUCAAGAGCAUCAAAUUCAACUUAGUAAAUGGUUUACACCCGAAUUGUUUAGAAAAGCUCAUGUUGUAGGCAUGGGAGGCCCUGAACUCAUGCCACGGCCUCCUAGAUUCUAGGCUUACAACCAGGAGCCACCAUGGCCCAGCUUGAAUCUGAUUCUUUUUUGUUGUUGUUUUGUUCUUCAAAGACAACUCACAAAGACUAGUAGAAAAUUUCAAGUUCAAAAGUUUUUAAUUAAAUAGUUCUCAUAUGUACUGUUCCACAUUGUGGAAAUAAAACUAUGCAGAACAUUGAACAUUUUGAACAAUGGCACAAACACAUGUAGAGUAUGUAUGGUGAAGCCCCUGUUGUACCUUACCAGGCAACAGGUUUAAAUUGCAAGUUUACAGGGAAAACUACAUCUGAACAUUUCAGGUACACCAGAAUUCCAAACUGCUACACAGUUGCAGUCCUGUGGUCAAUGCAGCUGCACUCUGUAUGCACCUAUUAGCAACUUAACCUAGAGAAGAAAAAUGAAUGUUAGUGCACACCUAAACACUGGGGUACUGCUAUUUUUAGUAAAAACAGUCCCAUAAGUUGCUGUAUUACACAACCAUUAAGAAUGGUUUAAAAGUCCAGCUUCCUUUCAUAUGGAAGUCAGGAUUUGGACUGCUCAGCAGGGAUGCCCUCAGACUUUACUUUCAGCCAGGUAUGCAGUGCACACCUGCCUCAGUGCCAACAUUCAGACCCAUGAGUACCCUGUGCACUGACUACUUGAGCAGUAAUCCCAAAUAUGAAACAGAUUUUCACCUUGGCAAAGGGUGCUUCCGUCAACCUUAUAAACAAUUUAUUAGGGCCGGCCACAGGGCUGAAUGAGUAAACAAAGUGACUAUCC